UAGGAUGUAAGAGCCAUCACUGUCCCUC
rnacentral:piRNA from 1 species